GACGAACGCUGGCGGCGUGCCUAAUACAUGCAAGUCGAACGCAGUGGGGACGGGUGAGUAACACGUGGGUAACCUCCCAUCAGAGGGGAUAACACUUGGAAACAGGUGCUAAACCGAUACUGAUGGAUGGACCCGCGGUGCAUUAGCUAGUUGGUGAGGUAACGGCUCACCAAGGCCACGAUGCAUAGCCGGACUGGGAGGGUGAUCAGCCGCAACGGGACUGUGACACGGCCCAGACUCCUACGGGAGGCAGCAGUAGGGAAUCUUAGGCAAUGGACGAAAGUCUGACCCAGCAAAGCCGCGUGAGUGAAGAAGGUUUUCGGAUCGUAAAACUCUGUUGUUAGAGAAGCGGUAUCUAACCAGAAAGCCACGGCUAACUACGUGCCAGCAGCCGCGGUUAAUUC
rnacentral:rRNA from 1 species